CAAUAUGGAUUCAGUUGUGUGCACUCUUCUUUUCAAGGACUGCACAGGUGGAGUUAAGAGAGACCUCGCCAGCCAUAGAUCCUAGCCCUCAGGAAUGCAGUUGACUUCUGUUUAAUGCUAGGCCACUAGAAUAAAAUAUACUUCAAGAAAACA